UUCAAGAAGGGCAAGAAGCAGGACCCUGGAAACUACAGGCCUGUCAGUCUCACUUCAGUGCCUGGUAAAGUUAUGGAGAAGGUUAUUCUGGGAAGUGUUGAAAAACACCUGAAAGACAAUUAUGUUAUU